rnacentral:tRNA from 1 species
GUCGGGAUCGCAUAGCUCGGUAUUGCGGUAGCCUGCUAAGUUACUGUCCUUGGACACGGGGGUUCAAAUCCCCCUCCCGACGCCA